UACGUAGGGUGCAAGCGUUAAUCGGAAUUACUGAGCGUAAAGCGUGCGCAGGCGGCUAUGCAAGACAGAUGUGAAAUCCCCGGGCUCAACCUGGGAACUGCAUUUGUGACUGCAUAGCUAGAGUACGGUAGAGGGGGAUGGAAUUCCGCGUGUAGCAGUGAAAUACGUAGAUAUGCGGAGGAACACCGAUGGCGAAGGCAAUCCCCUGGACCUGUACUGACGCUCAUGCACGAAAGCGUGGGGAGCAAACAGG
rnacentral:rRNA from 1 species